UACGGAGGGGGGCUAGCGUUGUUCGGAAUUACUGGGCGUAAAGCGCACGUAGGCGGCUUUGUAAGUUAGAGGUGAAAGCCCAGGGCUUAACCCUGGAAUUGCCUUUAAGACUGCAUCGCUAGAAUUGUGGAGAGGUAAGUGGAAUUCCGAGUGUAGAGGUGAAAUUCGUAGAUAUUCGGAAGAACACCAGUGGCGAAGGCGGCGACCUGGUCCUUGACUGACGCUGAGGCGCGAAAGCGUGGGGAGCAAACAGG
rnacentral:rRNA from 1 species